rnacentral:tRNA from 1 species
GCGGGUAUGGUGAAAUUGGUAAACACGCUGGUUUUAGGUACCAGUGCUUUCGCUUGUGGGUUCGAGUCCCACUACCCGUACCA